rnacentral:lncRNA from 1 species
AAUCUGUGCUCUGAUACCAAUUAUUAGAGCAACUUCCUCAGAUUGUGGACGUUAGAAAACAACAAGGAUCAAGUCGUAGAGGCCCUUGAAGGCCAGCAACAAAGCAAUGCAAAAACAACCUUCAGGAUUUUAGUAAUCUUGUAAAUCCUAUCGGCAAAAUUUUCUUCUAUGAUUUGAACCCCUUAUCUAUCAAAUCUGAAAUCCACCUUUUGGAAUUUCGAAGCACCCUUGAUGAAGCCUCCAAAAAAUAAAAUAUGAAGGUGUGAAACUCCUCUUGGGCAGCCAAGAGGAGGUGCAUAAAAGGAGGGCAUGCAUAAAGGAGGGUGCUAGAAACCCUAGCGCCUCCUUUCUUUCUUUUUUGAGAUUGGUGACCAAGAAAUUUUAAGAUUUCUUGCUGCUAGAAUGUGGAGAAGGUCAGAGAGAGAGGAAGGAAGAGAGAGAAGGUUAGGAAGAAAAUAAUUUAGUAUUUAUUCGCUUCAUCAAGUCAGAAUACAAUGUACCUUUAUACACAGGGUCAAUGUGACCCAACCCAAAAACUCUCCUGGCUAACUCAAUAUAAGAUUGCGCUCAUCCAAGCCCAUGUACAUCCAUGACUUGAUCCAAUCUCAUAAUCUUGAACUCAAUUCUAGUCUAAAUAUAAGUUAGCCUCUCA